rnacentral:rRNA from 1 species
GACGAACGCUGGCGGCGUGCUUAACACAUGCAAGUCGAACGGAAAGGCCUGCUUUCCCUUGUGGAUUGCGGGUACUCGAGUGGCGAACGGGUGAGUAACACGUGAGUGAUCUGCCCCCAACUUGGGUAUAAGCCUGGGAAACUGGGUCUAAUUCCCGAUAGGACUGCAGGGUGGUGCCUGUGGUGGAAAACGAUUUUCCAGUGGUUGGGGAUGAGCUCGCGGCCUAUCAGCUUGUUGGUGGGGUAAUGGCCUACCAAGGCGGCGACGGGUAGCCGGCCUGAGAGGGUGGACGGCCACAUUGGGACUGAGAUACGGCCCAGACUCCUACGGGAGGCAGCAGUGGGGAAUAUUGCACAAUGGGCGGAAGCCUGAUGCAGCGACGCCGCGUGGGGGAUGACGGCCUUCGGGUUGUAAACUCCUUUCGACCGCGAGGAAGCCACCUGGUUGGAAGGGUGGUGACGGUAGUGGUAGAAGAAGCACCGGCUAACUACGUG